AUUGAACGCUGGCGGCAGGCCUAACACAUGCAAGUCGAGCGAGCGGCGGACGGGUGAGUAAUGUAUGGGGAUCUGUCUGAUGGAGGGGGAUAACUACUGGAAACUGUGGCUAAUACCGCAUACUAUCGGAUGAACCCAUAUGGGAUUAGGUAGUAGGUGGGGUAAAGGCUCACCUAGGCGACGAUCUCUAUCUGGUCUGAGAGGAUGACCAGCCACACGGGGAUUGAGACACGGCCCAGACUCCUGCGGGAGGCAGCAGUGGGGAAUAUUGCACAAGGGGCGCAAGCCUAAUGCAGCCAUGCCGCGUGUAUGAAGAAGGCCUUAGGGUUGUAAAGUACUUUCAGUGGGGAGGCGUUACCCGCAGAAGAAGCACCGGCUAACUCCGUGCCAGCAGCCGCGGUAAUAC
rnacentral:rRNA from 1 species